rnacentral:rRNA from 1 species
AUGCACGCUGGCGGCGUGCCUAAUACAUGCAAGUCGAGCGAACAGACGAGGAGCUUGCUCCUCUGACGUUAGCGGCGGACGGGUGAGUAACACGUGGAUAACCUACCUAUAAGGCUGGGAUAACUUCGGGAAACCGGAGCUAAUACCGGAUAAUAUAUUGAACCGCAUGGUUCAAUAGUGAAAGACGGUUUUGCUGUCACUUAUAGAUGGAUCCGCGCCGCAUUAGCUAGUUGGUAAGGUAACGGCUUACCAAGGCAACGAUGCGUAGCCGACCUGAGAGGGUGAUCGGCCACACUGGAACUGAGACACGGUCCAGACUCCUACGGGAGGCAGCAGUAGGGAAUCUUCCGCAAUGGGCGAAAGCCUGACGGAGCAACGCCGCGUGAGUGAUGAAGGUCUUCGGAUCGUAAAACUCUGUUAUUAGGGAAGAACAAAUGUGUAAGUAACUAUGCACGUCUUGACGGUACCUAAUCAGAAAGCCACGGCUAACUACGUG